rnacentral:rRNA from 1 species
GAGGGAGCUUGCUUCCUUGAGACCGGCGCACGGGUGCGUAACGCGUAUGCAAUCUGCCCCCUACAGGGGAAUAGCCCAGGGAAACUUGGAUUAAUGCCCCAUAGCCCAUAUUGAGAGCAUUCGAUAUAUGGUAAAGAUUUAUCGGUAGGGGAUGAGCAUGCGUACCAUUAGCUAGUUGGUGUGGUAACGGCACACCAAGGCAACGAUGGUUAGGGGCCCUGAGAGGGGGAUCCCCCACACUGGUACUGAGACACGGACCAGACUCCUACGGGAGGCAGCAGUGAGGAAUAUUGGACAAUGGGCGGGAGCCUGAUCCAGCCAUGCCGCGUGCAGGAAGACUGCCCUAUGGGUUGUAAACUGCUUUUUUACGGGAAGAAACACCCCCACGUGUGGGGGCUUGACGGUACCGUACGAAUAAAGAUCGGCUAACUCCGUGCCAGCAGCCGCGGUAAUACGGAGGAUCCAAGCGUUAUCCGGAAUCAUUGGGUUUAAAGGGUCCGUAGCGGACGUCUAAGUCAGUGGUGAAUUCUGCAGCUCAACUGUAGAACUGCCAUUGAUACUGGUCGUCUUGAAUCGUUGUGAAGUGGCUAGAAUAUGUAGUGUAGCGGUGAAAUGCUUAGAUAUUACAUAGAAUACCGAUUGCGAAGGCAGGUCACUAACAACGCAUUGACGCUGAUGGACGAAAGCGUGGGGAGCGAACAGGAUUAGAUACCCUGGUAGUCCACGCCGUAAACGAUGGAUACUAGCUGUCCGGCCUGCAUUGGUAGGCUGGGUGGCCAAGCGAAAGUGAUAAGUAUCCCACCUGGGGAGUACGUUCGCAAGAAUGAAACUCAAAGGAAUUGACGGGGGCCCGCACAAGCGGUGGAGCAUGUGGUUUAAUUCGAUGAUACGCGAGGAACCUUACCAGGGCUUAAAUGUAGUCUGACAGGAUUGGAAACAGUCUUUUCUUCGGACAGAUUACAAGGUGCUGCAUGGUUGUCGUCAGCUCGUGCCGUGAGGUGUCAGGUUAAGUCCUAUAACGAGCGCAACCCCUGUCGUUAGUUGCCAGCAUGUAAAGAUGGGAACUCUAACGAGACUGCCGGUGCAAACCGUGAGGAAGGUGGGGAUGACGUCAAAUCAUCACGGCCCUUACGUCCUGGGCCACACACGUGCUACAAUGGCAGGUACAAUGGGCAGCCACUGCGCAAGCAGGAGCGAAUCCACAAAACCUGUCUCAGUUCGGAUCGGGGUCUGCAACUCGACCCCGUGAAGCUGGAAUCGCUAGUAAUCGGAUAUCAGCCAUGAUCCGGUGAAUACGUUCCCGGGCCUUGUACACACCGCCCGUCAAGCCAUGGAAGCUGGAAGCACC